AAAAGACUCACAAGAAAAACUGUUUUGUUCAGAGUAAGAUUAAUAUAAAAAUUUUUGAUGCUAUGAGAUGGUCUCAUCAAUGUGCAACAAUUGAACUGGAUUUCCAACUUCCUGAGAGAUUCAACCUCACGCUAGGAUUUUAUGGCUUUCUCCCCAUCAAGUUGUAGUAAUUCCUGUCAGUAGUAAAUAUGAUGAUUAUGCCGAACCGGUAAAUUUAAUUUGGUAAGCCUUAGAUCGAACUUGCACAGG